GAUGAACGCUGGCGGCGUGCCUAAUACAUGCAAGUCGAGCGAACGGACGAGAAGCUUGCUUUUCUGAUGUUAGCGGCGGACGGGUGAGUAACACGUGGAUAACCUACCUAUAAGACUGGGAUAACUUCGGGAAACCGGAGCUAAUACCGGAUAAUAUUUUGAACCGCAUGGUUCAAAAGUGAAAGACGGUCUUGCUGUCACUUAUAGAUGGAUCCGCGCUGCAUUAGCUAGUUGGUAAGGUAACGGCUUACCAAGGCAACGAUGCAUUGCCGACCUGAGAGGGUGAUCGGCCACACUGGAACUGAGACACGGUCCAGACUCCUACGGGAGGCAGCAGUAGGGAAUCUUCCGCAAUGGGCGAAAGCCUGACGGAGCAACGCCGCGUGAGUGAUGAAGGUCUUCGGAUCGUAAAACUCUGUUAUUAGGGAAGAACAUAUGUGUAAGUAACUGUGCACAUCUUGACGGUACCUAAUCAGAAAGCCACGGCUAACUACGUG
rnacentral:rRNA from 1 species